CAAGGCUCCAUGUCCUAAAGGUUGAACUCCCAAAGCCCGCCCCCCGUGACUCACAUCCUGCAGCAAGACUACAUUGCAAAGGUUCCAUAGUCUCCCCCAAGCAAUGCCACCAACUGGGGACCAAGUGUUCAAAUGCCAAGCCACGUAAGAGACGUACACAUUCAAAUCACCACACCAACGGCUCAGGAAAAGUCCAGCCAUCCAGAAGUUUGCAGAGCAGGAGCCAUGGUCCCCAGGAGAAGGCCAGGAGGCAUGACCUAAGGUCCACAGGCAGCCACUGUGGCCAUCAGCGCCUUAGGUGGGUCUGCGGUGGGAGCAACAGAGCCAGCGAGGGGACGAUCAAGGUCAGAGAACAGCA
rnacentral:lncRNA from 1 species